GAGUUUUGGACUGCAAAGUCCUGACUUCCACCCCAUGUUUAUACAUCUGACACUUCGGCAAGCCGUGACGGAUGACUUUGGAAACAAGGUUUGAAGUUCCGUUGAUCUGCGCGAGCGGAUGGACGUGCGCUUGCCGGACGGCCCACAUAACUCUAUUUUGACUUCAGUCAGUUUGAUAACAAAAUAAAUCAAAACUUUCAACAACGGAUCUCUUGGUUCU
rnacentral:misc_RNA from 1 species